UACAAAGUUUCACCUUCUUCAAGAACAGUCAGUUUCAGAGAGGAGGUCAUGCAUAGACCUUAUUCCUUAAUGUCCUUCCCCCUCCCCCAUUCUGUUUUGGCUUACUCUCAUUGUCCAUGCUAACACCAUUUUCUCCACAUUUACACAGAAAAGUACUUAAGUUCAGGGCUAAGCCUGACUGCGUGGAAAAGGGGUUGUUACUCUGUGUGACUCCUGGCUGGACUUGUUUUGUGUUCAUAAAACCCACUUGAGUAAACAAGUUCUAGUGUGUUUGAGUUCCAAUUGCUUGCAUUACUUCACAGUCACGCCUGACUCAGAUUGCAAAAUAGCUGGUGUGACCAGAUGCACGGAAACCCUGGCAUCUCAUCAUCACUCAGGAACUUGAUGGUUCGAGAGACUGAAGAUACACACACUGAACUACCCUGAAAUAUUUUUGGUCAUCCAACCCAAAGAGUUCCCCUGUUAGCAGCUCACAUACUCCACUAUGAAGUUGUUCUGCCUUCAAGUUUAUUGGGCAGCACCAGGAUUGCACAGGUACAAGAACUGGUAAAUGGCAACACCACCUCAUACGCAGAUACUGGAACCCAGAAGGGAAAAGUGCCUCGCUCUUGACUCAAACGUUAUAAUAUGCUGGCUUUGGAGUCCCAGCCACCUGAAGACUUCACAUGACCUUAGAGGGCCAGGACAGUACAUGCAAGGGGCAUCCAAGCCAGCGGGAACAGAAGAAAGGCUUCUUACAGGAUGUAUCUUCUAAGGGGACAUCCAGGAAGUUGAGGGAAAAAAGAUGAAAUAGUGUCUAAGACUAAAGGGAUAAGAACAGGCAAAUGACCAGAGGCAAGAGAAACACAGAUUCACAAACGACAGGAAGAAAUUUGGCAUGGGUGGAGCCUGUGUGUGUAUGCACAUGUGUGUGCAUGUGUUGAAGGGUACUGGGUGGUGACUGGAGAAGUAGGUAAGGGUCAGGUGACCCAAGGCUAAUUUAAGACAUUUAUUUAUCCUUGUUUGCAAAGAAUUGAAGGGCUUUACCUUGGUCAUUCACGGAUCUUGGAAAGAUUAUAAAGGCUGCUUUGUGAAGAAAGGUAGCAGAGGAGGAUCGGGCAAGAUAUCACCGGUGGAGGCCUUGCUGUGCUUCCUGGGAUCGUGUCUCGGAGGUGACCAGGAAUGAAGCCAGCAGACAGCAGUAUGAGCAACCAUCAAAGCUCUUAAUGAGGAGUGGAAAGGAAGGAAAAGAAUCUUGCUAAUCAGGAGGGGCUCCAAGUAAGGAUGCUGUUAGGGCUUCAGUGUCUAGGGUUUAUAAGCACAAAAACAGAGAAAUUUACAUGAUUGGCGGGGGCUUGUUGCUAGGGCCAAGCUGGGUUCAAAAGAAAAAACUCCCUUAUUUUUCAGGCUGAAUUUUCCAGGUAUCCAGGAUGUGGCUUCUUGUUUACUGUGAAGCCUUGACCCUAGGUCCCUCUUAACUGCAAUUUACCAGGGCCUUGAGCUCUGGCUCCCUGCAUCCCACUAACACCUGCCUCAAAGACACUUUGACAUAAUCCAGGCAAACAUCAUGAGGCCUGAUGAAGGAUAGUGGCUGUGGGAUGGAGGACGGAGUGCAAAUUGAGAGACAUUCAUUCAGAGAGCAAGACUGAUUUGAUGACUUCUAAUCCGCGGUCAUUGGUCCCAACAUCCAUAGAGGAAAUACUUUAGUCAGUUUUUAUGGAUUCACAGGCCAUGGUUUCUUUCAGGGUGUCUUACUCCAGCUCCUCCUUAGCUUAUUUUCUUGACGUCAAUGCAGUGUGUUGCCACUGGGGUGAAACUCGUUUUAUAAACACACCCUUAGGUGGUGUGGCUAUGUUAGGGUAAGUAAUACUAGUUUUGAUAACAAACAACCCCCAAAUUUCAGUAGCUCAACACAAUCAAAAUCUGGCUUUCCCCCAAUAAAGUUCAGUGGGGUUGGGUGGGUGAAUUUCCUUCAAGCCAAGAUGACUCCCAAUUCAGGUGUCUUUCAAUCAGGGCUUGGGUGUCCCCAGCCACCACAUGAUCAAAGAGAAGGAGCUCAGAGCAUUAUAUGUGGGAAGUUUGAGGGGACAGUUUGGAAGGGGUGUAGCUCAUGGAUCCCCAUAUUCCAUGGCUCAGAACUUGUCACAAGACUUGGAUUCAAAGAAUCUUGGAAAUACAGUCUGACUGUGUGUCCUAGAAGAGGAGGGUGGGUCUGGUGAACAGCCUGCAGAUUCUGCCAUGAAGGAACACAUGCCGGAAGCAGAAUGUUGAACCAGAGGGUAGGUUCACGUCCAUUGUGUUUCCUUUCAUUAAUCCAGAGUGUUCUAGGUUUCUUCCUUCAGCUUAAAUAACUGCAACUCUUAAGGAAAGUGAACAGAGAGCUUCAGGUGUGUGUAAGUCGGGCCUCAUCCUCUGGUUGGUUUUUGUCACACCCCAUGGAGAAUGUGGAGAAUGACAGUGGGAUGCUGACAUGAACAGCAGAGUGAGGCCAACAGUCUACUUUCAGCUUAACCCACGUGCAUGUCACCCUAAGGCCUUGGUUUCCUUGUCUUGCCGCUUGCUGGGCUGGUCCAGGCAAAAUCGCUCUGUGAUUUCCAGUGGGAUGAGUGGAUCUUCAAAAUCUCUGGGAAAAAAAUCUGUACAGUAUAAGGAGUAAAAGCGCAAGGGAGAUAAUUAGGGGCACGUGAUGAAAGAUAAGACCUUUACCACUUUAUGAGGGGAGGAGGUUUCAAACUAAGCUUUAUUGGUUAUCAGUUGAACUCUGCAGCCUAAAUUCAUUGUUUCCUAUCAUUUUUCUUAACAUCUGCAUCAAAUGCUUAUGUAGAAAAGAGAAAGGUGGAGAGUGGCCAAGAGCUCUCAUCUCCAUCUUUACUAAGAGUGGAUCAGCGAGACUGACUCCCAGAAGUGCUGGGACUCUAACAUGUUACUGAAGAAACCAUGGCCAGUGACUGAAACAAUCUAGUCCAAACUGAGACACCCAGUCAGGUAGGCCACUGACCAUUCCUGUGCUUUGACCCCUCCUCCAUCUUGGCAACACCACCUGGGAGAAGAUGCUGGCCUCACAGUUACAAAGAGGACUCCUUCAUGGCUCAGGGUUGUGUAAAAGAGAUCUGGGAGCUGCCUGCAGGUUGCAUUUCCACCCAGGACCUGGGUUUUAGAAGGGCCUGUGACAAGCACGGAUAAGCAAGUCACCCCCAUGCAAGCGAAAGGGCACUGUGAUAAAGGGUUGGCUCACCAACUACUCAAAGGAGAAAAUGCUACUAAGAAAAAAAAAGCAACACAGCUUCAGCAACAGGCAGAGUGGGCAUUGGCUGCUUCUCCUACACCUUCUCCUUCCUUCCCAUAGAGCACUGAUUGGCCUGGAAAACACCUCCUUUCCCUCUGCUAUUCGCUGUGGUGCUGGGAGGGUUGAUCCCAUCUUUUAGCCUGAGUCCAAAGCCUAUCACUCUGGCCAGGAUUGGUUUGGAGAUGGUCAAAUAAAUUGCCUGGAAGAGAUGGAAGAAAGUAUCUCUUUUCUCUCCUGGGGCUGCUCAGAGGCAGAUGCCUAAGAAAGGAGCUCUAAGGGAGGGAUGCCAGCCAAGAAAAGAGAAACUGAGUCUAAGACAUCAGUUCAAGACCUGGCUCUGCCAUUCCUGAGUCUUGGAUACCCAGCAGAUCCUGAUUCACAUCUUGAUUGAAGAUAUUUUAAGGGGGUAAGAGAAGAGUCUACUGCUUGCGACAGGAAGGGCUCUGGCUACUGCAAGGGGCCGCCAGAUCGCCUAAGGGAUUCGAGUAGAGAUAAUUCUAAUUACACUGAUAAUACCUUUUCUCUGAGCCCCUGCUACGUAGUUCACAAAUACUGCUUUUUCUUUCCUACCAACUUAUAAGAGAGAUGCAAUUAUCACCAUUACGUAGCUGCAAUCAUGGUGGUUCUCUUAUGUUGAGUGACUUGUCCAAAGGUGAAUUACUUGUAAGCAGUGGAGGAGGGAUUCAACCCACUUCUGCUUGUAUCAGCUUCUAUGGGCUUGUCACUCUGUCACACUGCUGUCCUGCAGGGAGGGGCUGAAUUAACAUGGGGACAAAGAGGAGAACCAGGGGACACAGUUUGUUUAGAUAUACAAAUCUUAGAAAGGAUUCUCCAUCAUAGGCACAAGUGUCUAGGGGGAAAAAAGAUUUAAAAGCAACAAACAAACAAACAGAGCCCCAGGAAAACAACAGGUGCACUGGGAGCAGUGCCCUCCUCCAGAGAAGGCCAUGGAGCUAGCUCAGGUCGGUUUUGUACUUAACAAGUUCUUAGACCUUUUGGGUGCAUGUAAUAGACACAAACUGGCACUCGGUGUGUUACAAGGAUAUAUAGUCUUCAAGACCCUGAGACCCUGGUGUUAGCUAAUCUCAGAGUUUUGGAAGUGGGGACCGGGAUCUCAAGUUUCUAACUCUUAUUUUUCCAUCUCUCUGCGUGUCUGUUUUAACCUUUUAUUCCUCUGUAGGCAGGCUUCCUCACCCUGAUCCACCAUCUGUAGGCAGAUCUGGCUGUCCCAUGACUUCCUGGUUGACGUGGUUCACAGAGACCCAGACACCUAAGGAGACUGACUUUCUGUCUCAACUCCUGAUCAUUGCCACGUCCAAAUUUCUCAGGUGGAGAGAGUGGCUUGCUGGAGCAAGCAGUCCACCUGGUCCUCUCAAUGCUGGAUCUCUUUUGGGGUGAAGUGAGCAAGCGGUACCAGGCUAUGGAAGCUAGGAGCCCACCUGCGGAGGGCUCUGUGGUGCAUGGCCCAGAUGUCCCAGCAGGAACUGAAAACCUAUCACCUCAGCUGGUCUCAGCACCCCUUGACAUUGUCUCACCUGCAGUCAUGUCACUUCUGUGGGAAGGGGGUCCUCCUCCUCUAGGGUGGACCUCUUUGAAUGUCACUCCACUCCAGAGGUCCUUGUAAGCUGCCUUCAGUUUGUUUUGGGCUUGAAUCACAGUGUAACUGCACCCUCUCUCCAGUGUCCUUCCUGUCUCUCCUGCAAGGCCACCCUUGAAUACAUUUCCUGCUUUCAAAUUUCCGUCUGAAUCUGCUUCCUAGAGAACCCAACGCACCACAGUUGGUUCUAAGAAUCACCUGAGAAAGGACCCUUGGUGAGAAUCUGGAGCUGGAGACGCCACUGCUUGUCUGGUGCUAAGGACUCCAUCCCUGGGGUUGGUGGAGCACAGAGGCCCCCGGGGCUGAGCAACAGAACAUCAGAUCACCUUUCACUGCUGGUGAGCUGGAUGGGUACCAGGGGAAGGGGAUGCAUUAGCUGGCAUGGUGUACCAGUCGUUUUAUGAACAUGGAGCAAGAGUAAAUCUAAGGACAGUGGAAUGGAGUGGCUAUAGCUAAGCUCAACGGAUACUCCGGAAAAUGGCAAUGGAAAGGUAACAGUGGUUAAUAGGCACAGGAGAGCUGAGUGCAAAAGUCACAGACCUCCUGAUUAGCACACAAAGAGACUCUCAAGUCCUACAGCAAGAGGGCAAAGAAAGCUAAAGAUUUUUACCGGAAUCCUUGCGCACCAAAGAGAAUAAACCCCCACUCAAGCAGGGGAGCUAUGCCCAGGUCCCCUGACCUUGGCUGGGAAUCAUGCAGGUGGAUGUGUCCCAAGACCCUGAAUCUCUGGACCCCUCUGACCCUCUGGGCCACUCCCUCCUGCUGAGAGCUGGCUUUCUCCCUUUGCUUGAAGAUGCUAUGGCGGUCUUGCCCCUAUAUCGUCUACCCUCAGCAUCUGUCCCCUCUUGGGCUGCUAAUAACCAGCGAUCGUUCCCCUCUCGGCUUGGGGCUUGCUGAGAAGAGAGGAAGGAACUGAGGACCUGCAGGGUCUGGUCAGCCUGUGUCAGCAGGACCUGGGGUAGUGCAGAAGACUGGAUUUUGAAGGUGUCUGACCAAGGGGGAGGGACAUAAAAUCAGAUAGGCCGGGGUUUAUUGGUUUGAGGGUACUUUCCUGGGUUAUAAGAGUUAGCGCCCUAGAAAGAACUCCAGGAGAUGCUGAGGAAACACAGGUCCAAGAAGCGUGGAGCAAGCAGUGGCUCCCGUCCCUCAACUUGCGACAAUUCAGAAAGUCCUCCCCCGCCCCAGAGCUCUCUGCGGGGUUACUGAAGGCCUUUGCUGCAAUGGCAGACUAACUCAACGUCUCCCUUUGCCAAUCCCAGUUUUUUCCUCUCUGCUUCACCUGUAAUUGAUGUAAGAGCAACUUCCCAGGCACCCCAAUUUUUAUCUCAAAGUCUUGCCAGAGGAGCCCACCGAUUACAAAUACCGUCUGUCUUGUGGGCCAGAAAGUCCCAAAUGUGGCUGCUGCAUACAUGCUCCCUGGAGUCUCUAUAUCUACAGGGGUGGAAGAGCAAAUGAUUUGCCCAAAGCAAAUUAUUAGUGCUCCCAAGUUUCAGAUCCAGAUAUAUUUGUCUUCAAAGCUAUUGUUCCUUUUGAAUCCUGCUGUGGUUUCCUAUUUAAUACAUAUUUUUAUAAUCCAUUUGUUGUCAAAGUACCUAAAUUCAGAGACAGAGAAAACACCAAGCUAAUAGAUUUCAACUGCAGUAUGUAGUUGGAAACAGUUGGAACACUGUGUCUAAGACACGGAGCUAACUGUCUGUGGUUCAUUCACUCAUUCUUCAAUUUAUUCAUUUAACAAACUUUGAUUAAGCCCUUACAAUAUGCCAGGCCCUAGGCUUUGUACUGAGAUACAGCAAUCAAUAAAACUUAUAUUCUGAUUUCAAAACUUAUGGUCCAGCAGAACAGAAUGAUAUAUAAGCAUGUAGGUGCAAUAAAUAUUUAAAGGCAGAUAAAGGAUGGUUAAAGGAUAAAGCAUGGGAAUAACCAAGCACCACUUUGUGAAGCCAGGGGCCUGCAUGGCUACUGUAACGCCCAGGGUCAGUAAAAUGCUGGUGUUACUAGUAUAGAACUGACAGUAAAACUGAUAACCCCAUCUGCCCCUUGUACAACUGACCCUGGCCUGAGCUGAAACACCGUGAGCGUCCCCUGUCCCAUAUUACAAAAAUUACAGCCAGUUGGCUUUGUGCAUCCUAGCACAGGCAGGUAUGGCUUACCAGCAACUCUGAGCAAAGCAGAUUAUGUUGGCAACAUUUCCACUUUAACUUCAUUAUUUGGUGAUAUCCCAUUGCAAGUAGGAUGGGAUGCAGGACACCCCCCGCUCCAAGUUGGUCUAUGUGUUAAUAAAACAUGGGCGUGUGAUGCAUAAAGAUAUGGUCCAUUUUCCUUCCCCUCUUCUGUCCAGCACUGGUUACCAUACUGCCCAGGAAUCCAUAGCUGCCAUCCUAUUCAGUGGGCACAGCCAGAGCAAUGGUAAAAAGUUCAUAGAAGGAGGGCAAACAGUGGAUUCAAGUUCAGCACAGCGGAGAAGAGAAAAAGAUUAUAGAUAGAGAAGGAGAAUGGAGGAGAUAGUAAAUAAUUAAGCAACAAAUGUGUACUGUUGUUUUCCAUUAGAAAUACAGAUGACAACAUGCUAUUAAAAGGCUAUGAUAGAGGAACAGAUUAAUGGGGAAAGACAACAAGAGGGCUUAUUAUCAAGAGCUGUAAGACUAAGAAAGUGGGAAAUUCUGUGAGUCAGAAUAGAGGCUUUUUUCCUUGCUACAUCCUGAGCAUCUGGCCCAGAGCUUGACACAGUGUAGGAGCUUAAUAUGUGUUUUUAAAUAAAUAAAUUAGUGACAGACUGAAUGAAUCACAGACACUUAGCUCAUCAUCUGUACACCAUGUUCUGAUUGUUUCCAGCUACGUGUUUAACUUUCAUGAUAUCUUCCUGCAAUUGAUACUUACCACCUUGAUGUUUCCUCUGCCUAUAAAUUCAGAUAUUUUGCCAACCGAUCAAUUGUAAAAACAUGUGUUAAACAGGAAAACACAGCAGGAUGCAAAAGGGAAGCACAGUGGUUGUAAAGGGAAUUGUAUCUGGGUCUCAGAAUGGGCAGUGGCACCGAGACCGGGCAAAUCAUUCAUCUUUCAGCUCCCUGUACUGCCUCACACCAUUGAUGUUAGGGCUGAUGGAAAGUAUGUACAGGUAGGUUUUUCACUUUAUUCCAAAAAACUACAGUGGGUGGGAGUGGGAUGAUGUUUAAGUGUUUAUGUAUGCAUAAAAUGAUGUGGUUCAAAAUAGCUGAAACAAAGGACUCAUCCUGCCCACGAAAGCCUGUAGAAAGUCUAGGAAAAUGCAAAGCUCCUGCACCAGACCGUGUAUUCCUGGAGGGCUAGAGCUAUGCUUUUUUCUCUUUAGACUCCAGGUGCCUUGCAGGUAGGAAACUCUUAGUAAAUAUUUGCUUUUUAAUGCAAUGAUUCAUCAUGUGACUCAGUUUCUCCAUUUGUAAAUUUGCCUAUAAUGCCCCUGAACUUGGGAGUUUUGUGAGGACAAGAGUCAUGCAAGUCAGGGUCACAUAGGGCUCUUGAUAUAGUAUAACCACGUGUUAUGGUCUGAGCUGUGCUCCCCCAAAUUCAUAUGUUGAAAGUCUAACCCCUUGUACCUCAGAAUGUGACUAUAUUUGGAGAAAAGGCCUUUAAAGGGAGGGAGUUAAGGUAAAAUGAGGUCUUCAUAGUGAGCCCUAAUCCUGAAUGACCAAUGUCCUUAUAAGAAGAGGAGACUGGGACCCACAGAGCCACCAGGCAUGUGUACGGAGAGGACAUGGAGAGAAGAAGGCCCUCUGUAGGCCAGGGAGAGUGGCCUCAGAGGAAACUGACCCAGCCGGCAGCUUCAUCCUGGACAUCUAGCCUCCAGAGCUAUGAAAAAUAAAUCCUGCUCUUUGA